AGUGAACGCUGGCGUAGGCCUUACCCAUGCCAGUCGAACGGCAGCACAGUAAGUGCUUGCUCUUACGGGUGGCGAGUGGCGGACGGGUGAGGAAUACCUCGGAAUCUACUUUUUCGUGGGGGAUAACGUAGGGAAACUUACGCUCAUACCGCAUACGACCUACGGGGGAAAGCCGGGGAUCUUCGGACCUUGCGCGCUUCAAUGAGCCGAUGUCGGAUUAGCUAGUUGGCGGGGUAAAGGCCCACCAAGGCGACGAUCCGUAGCUGGUCUGAGAGGAUGAUCAGCCACACUGGAACUGAGACACGGUCCAGACUCCUACGGGAGGCAGCAGUGGGGAAUAUUGGACAAUGGGCGCAAGCCUGAUCCAGCUAUACCGCGUGGGUGAAGAAGGCCUUCGGGUUGUAAAGCCCUUUUGUUGGGAAAGAAAAGCAGCAGGUUAAUACCCCGCUGUUCUGACGGUACCCAAAGAAUAAGCACCGGCUAACUUCGUG
rnacentral:rRNA from 1 species